rnacentral:lncRNA from 1 species
UCUGAAGCCGUGUUCCUUUGUUGUGCCGUCAUCACUGUCAAAUUCCAUUCUACGACAUGUAUCUCAAUGUUCAGCACCAUAUAUAAUUAAUGAGCAGAGGAUCGAAAGUAUAAUAUGGGUUACUUAUACUUCUUAAUAUAUAACAUUAACAAAUAAAAAACUUGUUAUAUAAUAUAAUAUAAGUUGAUUAUGUAAACUCUACGUAGCAAUGUGACGUUCAGAUAGAACAAUUUCUCACGGGCCAUCAAUUCCAUACUAAGUAGAGAUAUUUAGUUGAAUAU